rnacentral:rRNA from 1 species
UUUAAUUCGAAGCAACGCGAAGAACCUUACCUAAGCUUGACAUCCCAAUGACAUCUCCUUAAUCGGAGAGUUCCCUUCGGGGACAUUGGUGACAGGUGGUGCAUGGUUGUCGUCAGCUCGUGUCGUGAGAUGUUGGGUUAAGUCCCGCAACGAGCGCAACCCUUGUCUUUAGUUGCCAUCAUUAAGUUGGGCACUCUAGAGAGACUGCCAGGGAUAACCUGGAGGAAGGUGGGGAUGACGUCAAAUCAUCAUGCC